GAUGACGACGGAGGAGAAAUGGUGGUGAGAUGGAGGUGCGGCGAUCUUAUAUGGUGGGGGAGGGGAUGAGAAAUGAGAAGAAAAGGGUGACUUAUGUGGUGAAAUGGAAGAAAAAAAAGGGAGGAGCAAGGUGGUGGACGACAAAGAGAGGGGAAGAGAGAAAAAUGAAAAAAAUAAAAAGUGAAAUGGAUAUCUCUAUGUGCAUGGCCGGCCAAGGUAAGGUAGGGAGGGAUUUUUGUUUGUUGAAGGGACAAAGGCAUGAAAAGGGGAUCAUGGGAGCAAAACGGGGAGAAAAAGGGGAAUGUUAACCUUCU
rnacentral:lncRNA from 1 species